GAUGAACGCUGGCGGCGUGCCUAAUACAUGCAAGUCGAGCGAACGGACGAGAAGCUUGCUUCUCUGAUGUUAGCGGCGGACGGGUGAGUAACACGUGGAUAACCUACCUAUAAGACUGGGAUAACUUCGGGAAACCGGAGCUAAUAACGGAUAAUAUUUUGAACCGCAUGGUUCAAAAGUGAAAGACGGUCUUGCUGUCACUUAUAGAUGGAUCCGCGCUGCAUUAGCUAGUUGGUAAGGUAACGGCUUACCAAGGCAACGAUGCAUAGCCGACCUGAGAGGGUGAUCGGCCACACUGGAACUGAGACACGGUCCAGACUCCUACGGGAGGCAGCAGUAGGGAAUCUUCCGCAAUGGGCGAAAGCCUGACGGAGCAACGCCGCGUGAGUGAUGAAGGUCUUCGGAUCGUAAAACUCUGUUAUUAGGGAAGAACAUAUGUGUAAGUAACUGUGCACAUCUUGACGGUACCUAAUCAGAAAGCAACGGCUAACUACGUG
rnacentral:rRNA from 1 species